AACAAAUAUUAAAGGCAACGCCUGCCCAGUGAACAAUUAAACGGCCGCGGUACCCUAACCGUGCAAAGGUAGCAAAAUCAUUUGUCUAUUAACUGUAGACCUGUAUGAAAGGCGAAUUGAGGGUUUAACUGUCUCUUAUGAUAAAUCUAUUAAACUGAUCUCCCAGUAAAAAAGCUGGGAUACCCCCACAAGACCAGAAGACCCUGUGAAGCUUUAAUUAAACUAUUAAACCCCCUAAUAACUACUUUAGGUUGGGGCGACCUUGGAAACAAAAAGAACUUCCAAAUACUACACACCAAACACCACCGGCCCACAAGCCAAUUAAUGACCCAGUAACACUGAUAAAUGAACAAAGUUACUCCAGGGAUAACAGCGCUAUCUUCUUCAAGAGCCCAUAUCAAAAAGAAGGUUUACGACCUCGAUGUUGGAUCAGGACAUCCCAAUGGUCAGCCGCUAUUAACGGUU
rnacentral:rRNA from 1 species